GAAGAGCUUUCCCGCGCGCAGAGAGCUGAGGGAGAGAAAGAAUGAGACGCCAACGUCGAAAACACAGGAUUUUUCAUGUCUUUGCAUGCAGAAAAACACUGAAUUUCAUAGAGAAGCACCACAGACGUCAUGAACAUCUAAGAUGGAGGAGAGUCGCCGUCCAGCUGGAUCUUCUGGAUGGAGAUCUCACUGCUGAGGAGAGUGUGAAGUUCAUGACGUCGGUCAGGAUAGAUAACAGGUGAUCAGGCGUGUGUCUG